AUGGAUGAUGUGGACGACAUCCUAAAGACUAUCAACUUCUUUAGGGAGAUGAAAGCAAUAAAUAAGGAAUUCUUCUGUGACAUACAACUUGAUGAGUCUGACAGGGUGAAGAACAUAUUCUGGGUGAAUGCAAGCUGCCGAGGGGUAUACCAAGACUUUGGUGAUUGCGUGACGUUUGACACCACAUAUAAGACCAACAAGUACCAUAUGCCACUUGGGGUGUUUGUGGAUACUAACAACCAUUUGUGCAUGAGAGGGAAGGCUCCUACUGCAUCCUCACAGCCCCUCAUGCCAACUGAGUUUGAGACUGCAUGGAAAGCACUCAUGGAUAAGUACAACCUUCAUGUCGAUGCCACGAUGGUGUCAAUGUGGAACGAGCUGGAGAAGUGGAUAUCAGCUUACUUCAAAGAAAUUUUUUGUGCCAAAAUGACAUCCACACAACCAAGUGAGAGCAUGAACUAUGUGCUCAAGAAGAACUUCGGAAAUGAGAGACAAAACCUGCACCAGUUUGUCAGCCAGAAAGAACAAAACACGCUGACCCUCUAUGGGUUCGACACUCAGAUGGGAAAGCUUUACUCACGAGGUGUGUACAACGAGAUCCAAAAGAGGCUAAAACUGAGCACCCUCUUCACGGUGACGGAGACGGAUGAGCCUACAAAGUACCUUGUGGUUACAGACCCCGUGGGAGAAACAUAUGACUGCGAGUGCAAACCAUGGGACCACACAGGUAUUUUCUACCUGCAUGUCCUCUGCAUGAUGCAGACAAAUAAGGCUGGCAGCGUUCCAGAGAAAUACAUUCUCAGGAGAUACACCAAAUGCCCGAACAUCCAGCCAACCUUCAACAAAAAUGACUUGAGGACAAUAGUGUCGAACAAGGCCUCCCACUACUGCAUUGAAAGCGCACUGCUGCAACUGAAUAUGAGGGGGAGGAAGAGUAAGACGCAAGCAACUAAAGCAGCGAAAGCAACAGCCAACAAGCCACCACGCCUCGUAAAACGCUUGGAAUUCGGCCCGGAUGGCAAACCUCUUGGGAUAAGGGCAUGCGGUGUUUGCAACGUGGUGAGCAAACAUAAUGCACACACAUGCCCACACCACACAGAUGACAUCGUCGACAAGCAAAAGCUGCAGAAGCAGAUCGGAGCCGCCCAGGAUGAAGAAGAAGAGUUUGACGAGAAUGACGACCAAUCAGACAAAGACAGUGAAGAUGACAGUAUUGGGGACGAGGAACCUGAAACUGACAAUGAAGCUGCCAAGGCUCAAGCAGGAAAGGACGCCGAUAAGGGACAACAUUCACAACCAAUUAGAAGGAGCUCAAGACCGAAGAAUACAUAG
rnacentral:rRNA from 1 species